UGCCAGCCGCCGCGGUAAUACGGAGGGGGCGAGCGUUGUUCGGAAUUACUGGGCGUAAAGCGCACGUAGGCGGAUUGGUCAGUUGGGGGUGAAAUCCCGAGGCUUAACCUCGGAACUGCCCUCAAUACUGCCAAUCUAGAGAUCGGAAGAGGUAAGUGGAAUUCCUAGUGUAGAGGUGAAAUUCGUAGAUAUUAGGAAGAACACCGGUGGCGAAGGCGACUCUCUGGUCCGAUACUGACGCUGAGGUGCGAAAGCGUGGGGAGCAAACAGGAUUAGAUA
rnacentral:rRNA from 1 species